CCUACGGGAGGCUGCAGUGGGGAAUAUUGCGCAAUGGGCGAAAGCCUGACGCAGCGACGCCGCGUGAGGGAUGAAGGUCUUCGGAUCGUAAACCUCUGUCAGCAGGGAAGAACGGUCACUGUGCUAAUCAGCAGUGAAUUGACGGUACCUGCAAAGGAAGCACCGGCUAACUCCGUGCCAGCAGCCGCGGUAAUACGGAGGGUGCGAGCGUUAAUCGGAAUUACUGGGCGUAAAGCGCUCGUAGGCGGUAUGUCAAGUCAAGGGUGAAAGCCCCGCGCUCAACGUGGGAACUGCAUUUGAAACUGGCAAACUGGAGUGUGUGAGAGGAUAGUGGAAGUCCAGGUGUAGGAGUGAAAUCCGUAGAUAUCUGGAGGAACAUCAGUGGCGAAGGCGACUAUCUGGCACAUAACUGAUGCUGAGGAGCGAAAGCGUGGGUAGCAAACAGGAUUAGAUACCCGUGUAGUC
rnacentral:rRNA from 1 species